UUUGUUGAACCUGAGAUAUGAAGCAAAUUGUGCAGCCUGUGUUCUUCUUAUUUUCAUCUUUUAUUUGUGGUAAGAAACUAGACUGCUCCCUCCUUUCAUUGUUUUACUUUCAACACCAUUCCCCAUGGAUACGGAUGAUAGACACAGUUGUGUCAGAAAAAUAAUUAUUUUAUGGCCAUAUGAAUUCUUGCCUGCCCUUGAGCAAAAUCACAAGUUCUUAAAACUUACAAAGAAACAAAGCCAUAACUUUGUAUAUAUACAGAUACUUUCCAUGAUUCGAUGUAUGACAAUUUUACCAUACAAAUUGUACAAUUUCCAUAUAAAUAUCUCUAAAAAUAUUUUAAAAUGAAUCAUACAUUCAAGAAAAAUUCUCUAAAAGGCUUGCAAGAUGCAGCUAUAUACGCUUACAGUCACUUGAAUGAGAUAUUUUGUGUGUUUGCAUACACUGCAGGAGUUGAUUGAAGAAACAGCUAAGCUUUAAAAGUACAGGGAAGCACCCCAUCCCACCCCUUCCAGUUGAUGAAAUACAGUGGUACUCCGCAAGACGAACGCCUCGCAAGACGGAAAACCCGCUAGACGAAAGGGUUUUCCGUUUUGGAGGCGCUUCGCAAAACGAAUUUCCCUAUGGGCUUGCUUCGCAAGACGACAGCCCAUAGGGAAAUCUCCAGGACAGCGGGGAAGCGCAGCGCGCGCAGGCUUCGGCAUGCUUGCGGAGAGGUCCGCGAAGCCUGUCCAGGACAGCUUUUGAAGGGGGGGGGAUAAGCAAAGACUUUCGCCCCCCGCCCGCCUUCAGAAGAGGUCCAGGACCUCUUCUGAAGGCGGGCGGGGGGCGAAAGUCUUUGCUCCCCCCUGCCUGCCUUCAAAAGCCAUCCGGGACAGCGGAGAAACGCGCUGCCUUUCUCCGCUCUCCCGGGAAGGCAGGCAGGGGGGAGCAAAGACUUUCGCCCCCGCCCGCCUUCAGAAGAGGUCCAGGACCUCUUCUGAAGGCGGGCGGGGGGCGAAAAUCUUUGUCCCCCCUGCCUGCCUUCCCAGGGGCUUUUAAAUCGCCCCGGACAGCAGAGAAGUCCUCCGCUGUCCCGGGCGAUUUUAAAAUGCCGCCCGCCAGCAUUUUAAGAUUGCCCCGGACAGCGGAGAAGUCCUCCGCUGUCCCAGGGUUUUUUAAAAUGCUGGGGGUGGGAAGAAAAGCCCUUGUCCCCCCCCCAGCCUUCAGAAGAGGUCGGGGGACAGACUGUCCCCGGACCUGGUCUGAAGGCGGUUUCCCUAGGAACGCAUUAAUUGAUUUUCAAUGCAUUCCUAUGGGAAACCGUGCAUCGCAAGACGAAAAACUCGCAAGACGAAGAGACUUGCGGAACGAAUUAAUUUCGU
rnacentral:lncRNA from 1 species